UACAGAGGUGGCAAGCGUUGCUCGGAAUCACUGGGCUUAAAGGGCGCGUAGGCGGCCUUCUAAGUCGAACGUGAAAUCCCCGGGCUCAACCCGGGAACUGCGUCCGAUACUGGAAGGCUUGAAUCCGGGAGAGGGAUGUGGAAUUCCAGGUGUAGCGGUGAAAUGCGUAGAUAUCUGGAGGAACACCGAUGGCGAAGGCAGCCCCCUGGGCCAACACUGACGCUCAGGCACGAAAGCGUGGGGAGCAAACAGG
rnacentral:rRNA from 1 species